rnacentral:rRNA from 1 species
UACGUAGGGUGCGAGCGUUGUCCGGAAUUAUUGGGCGUACAGGGCUUGUAGGCGGUCUGUUGCGUCAGGUGUGAAAACUCGGGGCUUAACCCCGAGCCUGCUUCUGAUACGGGCAGACUAGAGGUAUGCAGGGGAGAACGGAAUUCCUGGUGUAGCGGUGAAAUGCGCAGAUAUCAGGAGGAACACCGGUGGCGAAGGCGGUUCUCUGGGCAUUACCUGACGCUGAGGAGCGAAAGUGUGGGGAGCGAACAGG